CAGUCGCCGCGGUAAUACGUAGGUGGCAAGCGUUGUCCGGAAUUAUUGGGCGUAAAGGGCUCGCAGGCGGUUUCUUAAGUCUGAUGUGAAAGCCCCCGGCUCAACCGGGGAGGGUCAUUGGAAACUGGGAAACUUGAGUGCAGAAGAGGAGAGUGGAAUUCCACGUGUAGCGGUGAAAUGCAUAGAGAUGUGGAGGAACACCAGUGGCGAAGGCGACUCUCUGGACUGUAACUGACGCUGAGGAGCGAAAGCGUGGGGAGCGAACAGGAUUAGAUACCCCCGUAGUCCCUGUCUCUUAUAC
rnacentral:rRNA from 1 species